GACAGAGGGUGCAAACGUUGCUCGGAAUUACUGGGCGUAAAGCGCGUGUAGGCGGACCAACAAGUCAGGCGUGAAAUCCCUGGGCUCAACCCAGGAACUGCACCUGAAACUGUCGGUCUUGAGUGGUGGAGAGGGAAGCAGAAUUCCUGGUGUAGAGGUGAAAUGCGCAGAUAUCAGGAGGAACACCGGUGGCGAAGGCGGGUCUCUGGGCCGAUACUGACGCUGAGGAGCGAAAGCGUGGGGAGCGAACAGG
rnacentral:rRNA from 1 species